GGAUGAACGUUGGCGGCGUGCCUAAUACAUGCAAGUCGAACGAAGACUGUAGUAAUACUGUCUUAGUGGCGAACGGGUGAGUAACGCGUGGGUGACCUGCCCCGAAGUGUGGGAUAACAGUUCGAAAGGAUUGCUAAUACUGCAUAAUAUCCAAGAGAUUAGACGCUUUUGGAUUAAAGGAGUAAUUCGCUUCGGGAGGGGCCCGCGUCCCAUCAGCUAGUUGGUAAGGUAAUGGCUUACCAAGGCGAUGACGGGUAGGGGACCUGAGAGGGUGGCCCCCCACAAUGGAACUGAAACACGGUCCAUACACCUACGGGUGGCAGCAGUAGGGAAUAUUAGUAAUGGGCGAAAGCCUGAACUAGCAACGCCGCGUGUGCGAAGAAGGCCUUCGGGUCGUAAAGCACUUUUUGAGAGGAUGAGGAAGGACGGUACUCUCAGAAUAAGUCUCGGCUAACUACGUGCCAGCAGCCGCGGUAACACGUAGGAGGCAAACGUUAUCCGGAUUUACUGGGCGUAAAGCGCGUGUAGGUGGUUUGGUAAGUAGGGCGUGAAAGCUCCUGGCUCAACUGGGAGAGGACGUUCUAAACUGCCAAGCUUGAGGAUGGUAGAGGGAGGUGGAAUUCCGGGUGUAGCGGUGGAAUGCGCAGAUAUCCGGAGGAACACCAGUGGCGAAGGCGGCCUCCUGGACCACUCCUGACACUCAGACGCGAAAGCUAGGGUAGCAAACGGGAUUAGAGACCCCGGUAGUCCUAGCCCUAAACGAUGUAGACUNNGCGUCGGUGGUUUAAUCGCCAUCGGUGUCGUAGCUAACGCGAUAAGUCUACCGCCUGGGGACUACGGCCGCAAGGUUAAAACUCAUAGGAAUUGACGGGUCCCCGCACAAGCAGCGGAGCGUGUGGUUUAAUUCGAUGAUACGCGAGGAACCUUACCCGGGCUUGAAAUGCAGACGACCGACAGGGAAACUUGUCUUCCAGCAAUGGCGUCUGUGUAGGUGCUGCAUGGUUGUCGUCAGCUCGUGCCGUGAGGUGUCGGCUUAAGUGCCAUAACGAGCGCAACCCUUGCCAUUAGUUGCUAACAGGUUAAGCUGAGAACUCUAAUGGGACUGCCAUCGUAAGAUGCGAGGAAGGUGGGGAUGACGUCAAAUCAGCACGGCCCUUACGUCCGGGGCGACACACGUGUUACAAUGGGUGGUACAGAGGGUUGCUACCUGGUGACAGGAUGCUAAUCUCUUAAAUCCACUCUCAGUUCGGAUCGAAGUCUGCAACUCGACUUCGUGAAGCUGGAUUCGCUAGUAAUCGCGCAUCAGCCAUGGCGCGGUGAAUACGUUCCCGGGCCU
rnacentral:rRNA from 1 species